AACGUAGGACACAAGCGUUAUCCGGAGUUACUGGGCGUAAAGGGCGUGUAGGCGGAGAUGUAAGUCUAUUCUGAAAGCUCCUGGCUAAACUGGGAGAGGCGAAUGGAGACUGCAUAUCUAGAGUGAGGAAGAGGAAAGUGGAAUUCCGCGUGUAGUGGUGAAAUGCGUAGAGAUGCGGAGGAACACCAGUGGCGAAAGCGACUUUCUGGUCCUUAACUGACGCUGAGGCGCGAAAGCUAGGGGAGCAAACAGG
rnacentral:rRNA from 1 species